rnacentral:rRNA from 1 species
AUUGAACGCUGGCGGUAUGCUUAACACAUGCAAGUCGAACGAUGAGAAAGAGCUUGCUCUUUCGAUUAGUGGCGGACGGGUGCGUAACGCGUAGGAAUCUACCUAUUAGUGGGGGACAACUUAGGGAAACUUAAGCUAAUACCGCAUACGCCCUACGGGGGAAAGAAGCGGAUCGCAAGACCUUUUGCUAAUAGAUGAGCCUGCGUAGGAUUAGCUAGUUGGUGGGGUAAAAGCUCACCAUGGCGACGAUCCUUAACUGGUUUGAGAGAAUGAUCAGUCACACUGGAACUGAGACACGGUCCAGACUCCUACGGGAGGCAGCAGUGGGGAAUAUUGGACAAUGGGCGAAAGCCUGAUCCAGCAAUACCGCGUGUGUGAAGAAGGCCUUAGGGUUGUAAAGCACUUUCAAUUGGAAGGAAAACCUCGAAGCUAAUACCUUCGAGUUUGACAUUACCUUUAGAAGAAGCACCGGCUAACUCCGUGCCAGCCGCCGCGGUAA